rnacentral:rRNA from 1 species
UACGGGAGGCAGCAGUGGGGAAUAUUGCACAAUGGGCGCAAGCCUGAUGCAGCCAUGCCGCGUGUAUGAAGAAGGCCUUCGGGUUGUAAAGUACUUUCAGUCGUGAGGAAGGUGUUAAGGUUAAUAACCUUAGCAAUUGACGUUAGCGACAGAAGAAGCACCGGCUAACUCCGUGCCAGCAGCCGCGGUAAUACGGAGGGUGCGAGCGUUAAUCGGAAUUACUGGGCGUAAAGGGCACGCAGGCGGUUAAUUAAGUUGGAUGUGAAAUCCCCGGGCUUAACCUGGGAAUGGCAUUCAAGACUGGUUAGCUAGAGUCUUGUAGAGGGGGUAGAAUUCCAUGUGUAGCGGUGAAAUGCGUAGAGAUGUGGAGGAAUACCGGUGGCGAAGGCGGCCCCUGGACAAGACUGACGCUCAUGUGCGAAAGCGUGGGGAGCAAACG